rnacentral:rRNA from 1 species
UGAGGAAUAUUGGUCAAUGGGCGAGAGCCUGAACCAGCCAAGUAGCGUGCAGGAUGACGGCCCUAUGGGUUGUAAACUGCUUUUAUGUGGGGAUAAAGUGCGUGACGUGUCAUGCAUUGCAGGUACCACAUGAAUAAGGACCGGCUAAUUCCGUGCCAGCAGCCGCGGUAAUACGGAAGGUCCGGGCGUUAUCCGGAUUUAUUGGGUUUAAAGGGAGCGUAGGCUGUCUAUUAAGCGUGUUGUGAAAUUUACCGGCUCAACCGGUGGCUUGCAGCGCGAACUGGUCGACAUGAGUAUGCAGGAAGUAGGCGGAAUUCAUGGUGUAGCGGUGAAAUGCUUAGAUAUCAUGACGAACUCCGAUUGCGCAGGCAGCUUACUGUAGCAUAACUGACGCUGAUGCUCGAAAGUGCGGGUAUCAAACAGG